rnacentral:rRNA from 1 species
UCGAUCGUAUUAAUUGGGUAUAGGGGCGAAGGAGUAAUCGAACCAUCUCCUAGCUGGUUCCCUCCGCAGUUUCCCUCAGCAUAGGUGGCAUUUACUAUUAAAGAGUAUCAUUUUGUAAAGCGAAAGAUAAGAGGCAGAGGGGACGAAACGACUUCAACUUAUUCUCAAACUCUAAAUGGGAGAGAUCUCGGGCUUGCUUAAAUUAUUUUAAUAAAAGAAACCAAGACAUAUAUAUUUAAUAUUGGAUCAAAGUGCCAAGUGG